GAUGAACGCUGGCGGCGUGCCUAAUACAUGCAAGUCGAGCGAACAGACGAGAAGCUUGCUCCUCUGACGUUAGCGGCGGACGGGUGAGUAACACGUGGAUAACCUACCUAUAAGACUGGGAUAACUUCGGGAAACCGGAGCUAAUACCGGAUAAUAUAUUGAACCGCAUGGUUCAAUAGUGAAAGACGGUCUUGCUGUCACUUAUAGAUGGAUCCGCGCCGCAUUAUCUAGUUGGUAAGGUAACGGCUUACCAAGGCAACGAUGCGUAGCCGAACUGAGAGGGGGAUCGGCCAAAAUGGAACUGAGAAAAGGUCCAGACUCCUAAGGGAGGCAGCAGUAGGGAAUCUUCCGGAAUGGGCGAAAGCCUGACGGAGCAACGCCGCGUGAGUGAUGAAGGUCUUCGGAUCGUAAAACUCUGUUAUUAGGGAAGAAAAAAUGUGUAAGUAACUAUGCACGUCUUGACGGUAACUAAUCAGAAAGACACGGCUAAAUACGUG
rnacentral:rRNA from 1 species